rnacentral:rRNA from 1 species
AGUCGAACGACCUUCGGGUUAGUGGCGGACGGGUGAGUAACGCGUGGGAAUCUGCCCUCAGGAGGGGGAUAACGGUUGGAAACGGCCGCUAAUACCCCAUAUGCCGAGAGGUGAAAUGAAUUUCGCCUGAGGAUGAGCCCGCGUCUGAUUAGCUAGUUGGUGAGGUAAGAGCUCACCAAGGCAUCGAUCAGUAGCUGGUCUGAGAGGAUGAUCAGCCACACUGGGACUGAGACACGGCCCAAACUCCUACGGGAGGCAGCAGUGGGGAAUUUUCCGCAAUGGGCGAAAGCCUGACGGAGCAACGCCGCGUGAGGGAUGAAGGCCUCUGGGCUGUAAACCUCUUUUAUCAAGGAAGAAGAUCUGACGGUACUUGAUGAAUAAGCCACGGCUAAUUCCGUGCCAGCAGCCGCGGUAAUACGGGAGUGGCAAGCGUUAUCCGGAAUUAUUGGGCGUAAAGCGUCCGCAGGCGGCCCAACAAGUCUGCUGUUAAAAAGUGGAGCUUAACUCCAUCAUGGCAGUGGAAACUGUUGGGCUCGAGUGUGGUAGGGGCAGAGGGAGUUCCCGGUGUAGCGGUGAAAUGCGUAGAUAUCGGGAAGAACACCAGUGGCGAAGGCGCUCUGCUGGGCCAUCACUGACGCUCAUGGACGAAAGCCAGGGGAGCGAAAGGGAUUAGAUACCCCUGUAGUCCUGGCCGUAAACGAUGAACACUAGGUGUCGGGGGAAUCGACCCCUCCGGUGUCGUAGCCAACGCGUUA